UAAAAUUCAAACGUGCGGCUUGAACACAAAAGAUACAUUUUCCUUUUCUUACCUCACCUAAGACAGAAUGUUGCGCACGUUCUGCUAUGGCAAAGUGGAGCCAGUGUUUAUCUCUUCAAGAAGUUGCCAUAAACGUCAGGCAUUUUAAAGCGGUGGGGAUGGAAAGCUAAGACUAGGUCUGGGAUAGAAAGCAGAAUACCUUCAAGAUCCCACUGAAUUUAUUCAUUGUCAUCCAUCUUCAGAAGCUCACUGAAGAACCCUCUCACCCCACCACCAGCUGGUUUGCUCAUUAUAUUUUCUAUACAAGAUUCUAACUUCAGGACUGCAGAAAGGAGAAGCUCUUCCCCCAGUACUCUGCCUGGCCAACCCAGAUAGCGGUUUAGUGGGAGCAAUGUUCAAAGGAGCAUGACUUCUGUAAUCAAAAGACCUGCACUGGAAAUCUGGGCUCUUUACUCUCUGACAUUAGUUAAAUCAUUUAAUUUUCCACAUUUCAAUUUCUGUAAUAUGCUAUAAGAGCAAGAGUUGUUUUUUAAUUAGUUUAGGUCACAAUAGUUCUGUAACAAACUCAGUCUCAGGGGCUUAAUUGCAAUAAUUGUUUCCUUCUUGCACAUUUAUCAGUCCAUUGUGGGUUUUCCAGGUUGUCGGUGAGCCUCUCUCUAAGCUGAACCAGGUUUUUCCCACAUUACAGCUCUGCCUAUUGUCUAUUGUAGCAGAAAGGGUAGAGCCUUGGCUCAGAAGUGAUAGUCCUCAAUUCCACUCAUAUUCCAUUAGUGAAAAAUAGGCACAUGUAGAUAUGAGGGAUGAAGAGGUACUGAGAAAUAUAUCUUCUGCCUAGAUAGUGACUUUCCAUCAACUACUGAAUAUUAUGAAUGAGACAAUACAAAUUUUGGUGGACAGCUAGCCAUUUUCCCAAUGUUAUUUUAUAGGUUUUGAUGGGGAUAAAACCUGACAAUAAAUGUAAAAUAAUUUUAUAAACUCCAACUUGCUAUUAAAAUAUCAGCUCCAUGUGUGAAUAUGCAUGUAUAUGUUAAGUGUACAUAUUUAAUUGUUAGGAACACAUACCUGACUAAGUAUCAUCCAAGCAACAAUUAUUCUUGUUCCAUUCAGUUCAACAAAUUCGUAUUGAGCAUCCAUUGCAUGCCAGCUACUGUACUAGGUGCUGGACAUACUACUAAGAAAGAGAUGAUGGACACAAGAUCCCCUGCCUAUCAAGUGCCUACAGGCAAGAACAAUGUGAAUGAGAUAACAAAUUAGUCCCAAUGCAUCACAACUAUGUACGCAAGUAUUCAGGAAGCUACUAAUUAGUGUUCCAUCUGGAAAAAAAAAAAAAAGUGUCUUCAGUUGGGAAAAAAAAAAUAUGAGAAAUCCUGGGCCAAACGACUAUAGAUUUCUUUAUUGCAUGACUUCUCAAACCUUGUGAAUAGCCAAAGAAAAACGAAAAUACAGAUUCCUCAGCUUAUUUGAUCACUUACAAGUACUCCUACUAAAAUCGUGUGACACUGACAUUUGGGAAUUUCACAUGAAGAGCAUCUUCUUUCACAAUUAUUAAAUAGUACUUUCCUGAGUCAGAAAUGUAAUAAAAGUCCAACUCCAAAUAUUGUUUGAUCUUUUGUGAUUUGGCUUGAAUUUUACAUUUAAAAGAUUUGAUUUGUUUUUCAGCUAACCGUCUUGGAAAAUGUUCUCCUUUUGGGCACUGUGGGAAACUAGAAGAAACACUUCUCUGUUGCCACUGUGAGAUUAGGAACCUCAGGCUGGAACUUGUAAACUUCUUUUUUGUUUGUUUGUUUAUCUGUUAUUUAUUCCCUUUAUUUCCUGUCUCUCUAGUCCACCUCUUCCCUGAAGUAUCAAGACAAAACUAUUAUGUCAUGUGUGGAAAAAAAUAGUUGUAUGGUUUACCCUAUUAUAGGGUUUCCUGAAAGACAUGAUCCUGACAAAUGUCUUAAGCUCUCUCUUGGGGAUCAUUUACAUACUAUUACUGUUCACAUUAUCUGCCCUAAAACUGACUCCUUGGUGUAUCUUCUUCAAUCCUGCUUAAUGAAAUGUCAAUCACUAAUUACCCCUAAGCCAGUUUCUGUCUAGCCAUCCAUUUGACUUCUAACCUCUGAAAUAUUUUACUGUUGAAUAUAAUCAAGGACUGCUUAGUUUGGUGACAAAUUUAAGAAUCUGAAUUAUUAAACCUCGUUGAAAAGGCAUUAAACUUUCUUAUUC